rnacentral:rRNA from 1 species
UGAACGCUGGCGGCAGGCCUAACACAUGCAAGUCGAACGGUAGCACAGAGAGCUUGCUCUCGGGUGACGAGUGGCGGACGGGUGAGUAAUGUCUGGGAAACUGCCUGAUGGAGGGGGAUAACUACUGGAAACGGUAGCUAAUACCGCAUAAUGUCGCAAGACCAAAGAGGGGGACCUUCGGGCCUCUUGCCAUCAGAUGUGCCCAGAUGGGAUUAGCUAGUAGGUGGGGUAACGGCUCACCUAGGCGACGAUCCCUAGCUGGUCUGAGAGGAUGACCAGCCACACUGGAACUGAGACACGGUCCAGACUCCUACGGGAGGCAGCAGUGGGGAAUAUUGCACAAUGGGCGCAAGCCUGAUGCAGCCAUGCCGCGUGUAUGAAGAAGGCCUUCGGGUUGUAAAGUACUUUCAGCGGGGAGGAAGGUGUUGUGGUUAAUAACCGCAGCAAUUGACGUUACCCGCAGAAGAAGCACCGGCUAACUCCGUGCCAGCAGCCGCGGUAAUACGGAGGGUGCAAGCGUUAAUCGGAAUUACUGGGCGUAAAGCGCACGCAGGCGGUCUGUCAAGUCGGAUGUGAAAUCCCCGGGCUCAACCUGGGAACUGCAUUCGAAACUGGCAGGCUGGAGUCUUGUAGAGGGGGGUAGAAUUCCAGG